rnacentral:tRNA from 1 species
GGUGGCUCAGUGAUAGAGCGCUUGCCUGGCAUGCAUGAGGCCUGGGUUCAAUUCCUCAGCACCA